rnacentral:tRNA from 1 species
GGGGAUUUAGCUCAGCGGUAGAGCGCUUGCCCAGCAAACGCAAGGCCCUGGGUUCGAUCCCCAGCUCCG